CAGAAGCUAAUGAAGCUGACCAACACCCUUUCUUCUGGAAACGUGUGCAGUGCCUGCCCACAGCAGCCUUCUUGAAGUGUAUACAACCUGUUACUCCUACAGGUUGUCCUUUAGGGCCUUCGAAACAGCC
rnacentral:snoRNA from 1 species